GUGACCCACCCACGGGCCGAGCCCUACCCAUUCACUGAGCCUGGGAAAUGACAUUCAGCAGCAGGUGGAGGAGCAGCUGUUUUCUGUCACCCAGCUCUCAAGGGCCUGGGCUGGUUGUAGCUCCCUGUCACUGAAGCAAGCCCUGUGCUGGAGCCUAACCCCGGUGUCUCUCCAACUAACCCGCAUGCUGCCCUGGCCCCUGGUAUUCUCACCUCCUCCCAUGGGAACCUGGGACAGCCACGCCUAAUGUGCUGCGUCUUGACCACUUUGCCCAGUGCCUAGGAAGGUCUUUUUGGAGGCAGAGCCUGCCCUUGGCUGGGCCCUGCAUCGAACUCUAUGGAGCUCCUUGAACUGCAACGCUGGCCCCAUGGCCUGAUAAGGACCACUGCUACUGAGAAGCUCCAAGGACUGCUCCCUCUCAUCACCCCUUAGUGUGCACCCCUGGACCAUUGGCCCACAUUGGACACCAGACCCUUAGGAUGUGGAUUUGAAUUAUCUGCUCUUUCCUGAAACUAACAGGCAACUCUAUAGAUCACUGGGGACUCAUCCUGCAGAUAUCAUUCAAGGUAUCCGGUUCAGAAUCUAUCACCAGCUCAGACUGUAGCCUCUGAAGAGAUCUCAGAUGUUUUGUGCCUUAUACAUUUAAUUCUGAGAUCAUAGAGCCCAAGGAGGUUUUGAGGACCCUCUACCCACACCUUCAGAUGUUUUCAGAGGAUUUGCUGGCAGGGCUGGGCCACUGGGCCUUGCUGGGCUCUAAUUUUCCUACCCACGUGUGUCCUAUAGACCGUGAAUUUUCUUCUAAACACUCUUGACUUUUCACUUGUUAAAUUAAAGCAUUUUCUUAAAGAAAAGAUUAAAACCAAGA
rnacentral:lncRNA from 1 species